CACACUUUCGGAUUUAUAAUAUUAGUAUUAUCUAUACUAAUAUUAUAAAGAGGUAAAGUCUUUAAGUUUGUUUCUAAGGGGUAAUCUCUGCAAGUACCUACUGA